GGCCUCGGGUUGUAAACUGCUUUGUACGGAACGAAAAAGCUCGGUUAAUACCCGGGGUCCAUGACGGUACCGUAAGAAUAAGCACCGGCUAACUACGUGCCAGCAGCCGCGGUAAUACGUAGGGUGCGAGCGUUAAUCGGAAUUACUGGGCGUAAAGCGUGCGCAGGCGGUUAUAUAAGACAGAUGUGAAAUCCCCGGGCUCAACCUGGGAACUGCAUUUGUGACUGUAUAGCUAGAGUGCGGCAGAGGGGGAUGGAAUUCCGCGUGUAGCAGUGAAAUGCGUAGAUAUGCGGAGGAACACCGAUGGCGAAGGCAAUCCCCUGGGCCUGCACUGACGCUCAUGCACGAAAGCGUGGGGAGCAAACAGGAUUAGAUACCCUGGUAGUCCACGCCCUAUACGAUGUCAACUGGUUGUUGGGUCUUCACUGACUCAGUAACGAAGCUAACGCGUGAAGUUGACCGCCUGGGGAGUACGGUCGCAAGGUUGAAACUCACUGGAAUUGACGGGGACCCGU
rnacentral:rRNA from 1 species